rnacentral:rRNA from 2 species
GCAGCGACGCCGCGUGGAUGAUGAAGGCCUUUGGGUUGUAAAAUCCUGUUCUGGGGGAAGAAACCUUAAGGGUCCAAUAARCCCUUAAGCUGACGGUACCCCAAGAGAAAGCUCCGGCUAAUUAUGUGCCAGCAGCCGCGGUAAUACAUAAGGAGCAAGCGUUAUCCGGAAUUAUUGGGCGUAAAGAGCUCGUAGGCGGUCUUAAAAGUCAGAGUGUGAAAUUAUCAGGCUCAACCUGAUAAGGUCAUCUGAAACUUUAAGACUUGAGGAUAGAAGAGGAAAGUGGAAUUCCCGGUGUAGCGGUGAAAUGCGU